rnacentral:rRNA from 1 species
GCCAUCGGCCGUACCAUGCUGAAUAUGCCAGUUCUUGUCCGAUGACCGAAGCUAAGCUGGCAUUGGGCUGCGCCAGUACAUGGAAGGGAGACCAUCUAGAAACGGCCAGUGCUCAUGGCA